rnacentral:tRNA from 1 species
UGGGUAAAGUCGGCUAACAAAGCUCUUGGGCCCAUACCCCAACAACGUAGGUUAAAACCCUUCCUUUAC